rnacentral:rRNA from 1 species
UACGAAGGGGGCUAGCGUUGUUCGGAAUUACUGGGCGUAAAGCGCACGUAGGCGGAUACUUAAGUUAGGGGUGAAAUCCCAGGGCUCAACCCUGGAACUGCCUUUAAUACUGGGUAUCUCGAGUCCGGAAGAGGUGAGUGGAACUCCGAGUGUAGAGGUGAAAUUCGUAGAUAUUCGGAAGAACACCAGUGGCGAAGGCGGCUCACUGGUCCGGUACUGACGCUGAGGUGCGAAAGCGUGGGGAGCAAACAGG